rnacentral:rRNA from 1 species
GAGCCAACAUCUCAUUGAGCUUGACUCCCCGUAUGAGGACAUUCCUUACCCCUCAUGUUGCUUGUGCUCAAGAUUUUUCUCCCGGUCCCUGAGUCAGUCAUCUCACUGGUUUCGCCAGGAUCAUGGCACGCAAGGUAGGCGAACCAAGGGGUUGAAUGCGGACGAUGACCGC